AUGGUCUACGCGGGUCAAAGUGUAGUAUCUGUUCCUAUCAGUUUGAUAUCUGAUAUCUGAUAUCUGAUACGGGUUGUAUUUGUACCUAAGAUAUUAAACCGGUUUUUGCCAGUUGUGCUUAAAGCCUGCUUCACCUCCGCCGAGGGUCGGUGCUGUAUUGCACUAUCUUCGGGAUCAGCCCACUUAUU